rnacentral:rRNA from 1 species
GUUGAUCCUGGCUCAGGAUGAACGCUGGCGGUCUGCUUAACACAUGCAAGUCGAACGGGCUCUUCGGAGCUAGUGGCGGACGGGUGAGUAACGCGUGAGAAUCUGCCUUCAGGAGGGGGAUAACGACUGGAAACGGUCGCUAAUACCCCAUAUGCCUCCGGGUGAAAAGUAAUUCGCCUGAAGAUGAGCUCGCGUCAGAUUAACUAGUUGGUGGGGUAAGAGCCUACCAAGGCGACGAUCUGUAGCUGGUCUGAGAGGAUGAUCAGCCACACUGGGACUGAGACACGGCCCAGACUCCUACGGGAGGCAGCAGUGGGGAAUUUUCCGCAAUGGGCGCAAGCCUGACGGAGCAAGACCGCGUGGGGGAUGACGGCCUAAUGGUUGUAAACCCCUUUUCUCUGGGAAGAAGACUGACGGUACCAGAGGAAUCAGCCUCGGCUAACUCCGUGCCAGCAGCCGCGGUAAUACGGAGGAGGCAAGCGUUAUCCGGAAUUAUUGGGCGUAAAGCGUCCGUAGGUGGUUAUUCAAGUCUGCUGUCAAAGCGUGGGGCUUAACUCCAUAGAGGCAGUGGAAACUGAGUGACUAGAGUGCGGUAGGGGUCGAGGGAAUUCCCAGUGUAGCGGUGUAAUGCGUAGAUAUUGGGAAGAACACCAGUGGCGAAAGCGCUCGACUGGGCCUGCACUGACACUGAGGGACGAAAGCUAGGGGAGCGAAAGGGAUUAGAUACCCCUGUAGUCCUAGCCGUAAACGAUGGAUACUAGGUGUUGCUCGUCAUCGACCCGAGCAGUGCCGUAGCCAACGCGUUAAGUAUCCCGNCUGGGGAGUACGC